UACGGAGGGUGCGAGCGUUAAUCGGAAUUACUGGGCGUAAAGCGCGCGUAGGCGGUCUGUUAAGUCAGCUGUGAAAGCCCCGGGCUCAACCUGGGAACUGCAGUUGAUACUGUCAGGCUGGAGUACGAGAGAGGGAGGUAGAAUUCCAUGUGUAGCGGUGAAAUGCGUAGAUAUAUGGAGGAAUACCGGUGGCGAAGGCGGCCUCCUGGCUCGAUACUGACGCUGAGGUGCGAAAGCGUGGGUAGCAAACAGG
rnacentral:rRNA from 1 species